rnacentral:rRNA from 1 species
CCUACGGGGGGCAGCAGUGAGGAAUAUUGGUCAAUGGGCGAGAGCCUGAACCAGCCAAGUCGCGUGAGGGAAGACGGUCCUAUGGAUUGUAAACCUCUUUUGCCGGGGAGCAAAAAGCGGUACGUGUACCGCAUCGAGAGUACCCGGAGAAAAAGCAUCGGCUAACUCCGUGCCAGCAGCCGCGGUAAUACGGAGGAUGCGAGCGUUAUCCGGAUUUAUUGGGUUUAAAGGGGGCGCAGGCGGCGAGUUAAGUCAGCGGUAAAAGUUCGGGGCUCAACCCCGACCAGCCGUUGAAACUGGCUUGCUAGAGUGGGCGAGAGGUAUGCGGAAUGCGUGGUGUAGCGGUGAAAUGCAUAGAUAUCGCGCAGAACUCCGAUUGCGAAGGCAGCGUACCGGCGCCCAACUGACGCUGAGGCACGAAAGCGUGGGUAUCGAACAGGAUUAGAUACCCUUGUAGUC